rnacentral:rRNA from 1 species
GAUGAACGCUGGCGGCGUGCCUAAUACAUGCAAGUCGAGCGAACAGACGAGGAGCUUGCUCCUCUGACGUUAGCGGCGGACGUGUGAGUAACACGUGGAUAACCUACCUAUAAGACUGGGAUAACUUCGGGAAACCGGCGCUAAUACCGUAUAAUAUAUUGCACCGCAUGGUUCAAUAGUGAAAGACGGUUUUGCUGUCACUUAUAGAUGGAUCCGAGCCGCAUUAGCUAGUUGGUAAGGUAACGGCUUACCAAGGCAACGAUGCGUAGCCGAACUGAGAGGGUGAUCGGCCACACUGGAACUGAGACACGGUCCAUACUCCUACGGGAGGCAGCAGUAUGGAAUCUUCCGCAAUGGUCGAAAGCCUUACGGAGCAACGCCGAGUGAGUUAUGAAGGUCUUCGGAUCGUAAAACUCUGUUAUUAGGUAAGAACAAAUUUGUAAGUAAAUAUGCACGUCUUGACGGUACCUAAUCAGAAAGCCACGGCUAACUACGUG